UCCAGUUGAUCCUGCUGGAGGACACUGCUAUCAGAGUACGCCUAUGCCAUGCAAAUCUGCCCGUUGACUUCAACGGACGGUGUACGGCUCAGUAACAAGUAGUCAAUCUGCCCUAAGGACGGGAGCAACCUCGGGAAACUGAGGUUAAUUCCCGAUGCUUCAUCUAUGCUGGAAUGCUUGAUGAGGAAAACGCGCAGCGAAUUGGAGCUGUUGCGCCUUAGGAUGAGACUGCUCCUGAUUAGGUAGUUGGUGAGGUAACGGCUCACCAAGCCGAUAAUCAGUAGGGGCAAUGGGAGUUGGCGCCCCGAGAAGGGCACUGAGACAAGGGCCCUAGUCCUACGGGAUGCAGCAGGCGCGAAACCUUUACAAUGCGCGAAAGCGUGAUAAGGGAACUCUGAGUGGCAGCCGGCUUUUGCCGACUGUCUUUUGGCGAACCUAAACCGUUCGCAGAAUAAGUUCUGGGUAAGACCAGUGCCAGCCGCCGCGGUAAUACUGGCAGAACGAGUGGUGCCCACGAAUAUUGGGUCUAAAGAGACCGUAGCUGGUCUGUUAAGUCCACUGUGAAAUCUUGGGGCUCAACCUCAAGGCGUGCAGUAGAUACUGGCAGACUUGAGAGCGGGGGAGGUCAGGGGUACUUACGGGGUAUGAGUAAAAUCAGUUGAUCCUGUAGGGACCACCAGUGGCGAAGGCGCCUGACCAAAACGCGUCUGACAGUGAGGGUCGAAGGCUAGGAGAACGAAUCGGAUUAGAUACCCGAGUAGCCCUAGCAGUAAAUUAUGCAGACUGUGGUGUUGCUAUGGCUUCGGGCCAUGGCAGUGCUGUAGCGUAGGUGUUAAGUCUGCCACCUGGGGAGUACGGCCGCAAGGUUGAAACUUAAAGGAAUUGGCGGGGGAGCACCACAAGGGGUGGAUGCUGCGGUUCAAUUGGAUACAACGCCAGGAAUAUUACCGUGGGCGACGGCAGGAUGAAGGUCAGACUAAAGAUCUUACCUAACGAGCCGAGAGGUGCUGCAUGGCCAUCGUCAGCUCGUGGUGCGAACUGUCUCGUUAAGUCGAGUAACGAGCGAGACCCUCGCGUACAGUUGCAAAUUUCCCCUCCGGGGGAGAUGCACCCUGUACGGACUGCCCGUGUUAAAUGGGAGGAAGAUGAGGGCGACGGUAGGUCAGUAUGGCCUGAAUCCCACGGGCUACACGUGGCAUACAAUGGGCGAGACAAUGGGCUGCAACUCCGAAAGGAGAAGCUAAUCUCACAAACUCGCCCCAAGUUCGGAUUGGGGGCUGAAACUCGCCCCCAUGAAGCUGGAAUCCCUAGUAAUCGCUUGUCAUCAUCGAGCGGUGAAUACGUCCCCGCUCCUUGCACACACCGCCCGUCAAGUCACCCAAGCGAG
rnacentral:rRNA from 1 species